rnacentral:rRNA from 1 species
UACGUAGGGUGCAAGCGUUAAUCGGAAUUACUGGGCGUAAAGCGUGCGCAGGCGGCUUUGCAAGACAGAUGUGAAAUCCCCGGGCUUAACCUGGGAACUGCAUUUGUGACUGCAUGGCUAGAGUGCGGCAGAGGGGGAUGGAAUUCCGCGUGUAGCAGUGAAAUGCGUAGAUAUGGGGAGGAACACCGGUGGCGAAGGCGACCAUCUGGACGGAUACUGACGCUGAGACGCGAAAGCGUGGGUAGCAAACAGG